UGGAGAAAAGCAGGGGAUCGCAAGACCUUGUGCUUUUAGAGCGGCCGAUGCCUGAUUAGCUUGUUGGUGAGGUAAAAGCUUACCAAGGCUUCGAUCAGUAGCUGGUCUGAGAGGACGGCCAGCCACACUGGGACUGAGACACGGCCCAGACUCCUACGGGAGGCAGCAGUGGGGAAUUUUGGACAAUGGGGGCAACCCUGAUCCAGCCAUGCCGCGUGAGUGAAGAAGGCCUUCGGGUUGUAAAGCUCUUUCAGCCGGAACGAAACGGUUACGGUUAAUACCCGUAACUACUGACGGUACCGGAAGAAGAAGCACCGGCUAACUACGUGCCAGCAGCCGCGGUAAUACGUAGGGUGCGAGCGUUAAUCGGAAUUACUGGGCGUAAAGCGUGCGCAGGUGGUUUUGUAAGUCAGAUGUGA
rnacentral:rRNA from 1 species